rnacentral:rRNA from 1 species
AUGAGAUCGUUUUGGGCAAAAUGGAAGCUUUACUCCCCACUCAUUCUGUUAUACACGAACUGGCUUCUCUUUGUGAAUUUUUCCAACUCCCAGCAUCAGGGAGGGACGAAGAGGGAUGAAAAAAGACCAGCGAGCCACCGCACCCACCAUCUUCCUGGCCGCCCCCACACCACCUUCUUCCUUGCCAAGGCCCCCAUACCCCACCUUCUUCCCCGCCGGUCCUACCACACCGCACCUUCUUCUUUGCAGGGGCCCCCGCACCCUCACCUUCUUCUGAUCUUCACCGCUGGGCUCCUGCACUCCAUGCGCCGGCAACCGUGGAGUCCACCACCACCUCCGCGUUCACCGCCGGCUGCCCAGAACCGUUCCGCCCCCAACCGCGCACGGCCAGUAGCACCGGAUCCGGCCGCUGCGAGACCCCUGUGUCGCCAACAACCGCCUACCACGCCGGAUCUGGCCGCCCCCGACCAACCCAUCCCUCAACCUUUCCCUGACGACGACGCGAUGGCGAGCGGGAGUUGCAGUCCGGCUCCACGAGGCAAUGUCCACGGCGAGCGGCGCUCCAUGCCUCCCCCCAGGCGCUCCCUCGCGCUCCUCCCUUGCUCAACCGGCGACGAGGAGCUCGCCGUCCUACUCCUCCUAGCGCGCCGAGCCGCCGCGCCCCCUCCCGUGCCGCCCUCCCCGUGGUCCUCGACCUCUCUCUACCUGGCCUACAUCGGAUCUGGUGAGAUCCGCGAUGUAUCGAGCUUCCACUGCCGGAUCCCAUUUGCCUACAUCCCUCGGGCCUGUUCUAGCCAGUCUGCUCCUCUCCCUCUACUCGUCUCCCCGCCGCGUCGCCCCCAGCCUCCACCCUCACCCCCACAGCCACCACAAAUCGACGGCCUCGCCUCCCACCGCCGCCCGUUCUCAUCCCCUCCCCCGGUUCAUCAGAGAGGAAAAUUGGCAGGUCGAGCGACCAGAUCCACCCACAUCUGGCCCCGUUGCAACUGGCGACGACCGCGGUGUUGGCGGGCGGCGCCAACAUGCCGCUCUCGGCCAUGGAGCUGCUCCUGUCGGGCCACCCAAACCCGUCUGUCGCCUGCUCGCCUCCCGCGGCAUCUUCUCCGAACACACAACCGACGGCGGUACGUGCUUGUGUUGGCGUGGCCGCUGCUCCACGAGGUCGUGCUCGACCCCGCCGGUGCGGAUCCCUUCACGCGCGCCCACGCUAGUGUCCCCGCCUACGCCUACUACGGCCAGGACCGGGAGGCGAAUGAGGUGAUGCUCUGGGCCAUGACCGGCGUGUCAGAGCCAUUCAUGGAGGUGCUGCUGGACGGGUACUGCCCCGGUGGAGGGUUUGAGGGCGUGGCCAUGCUCGUCAACGUUGGCGCCAGCUCCGGCGCCUUCCUCGCGAUGAUCAUGCGCAGGGUGCCCACCAUCCGCCAGGGACUCAGCUUCGACCUGCCAGAUGUCGUCGCCGCCGCGCCUCCCAUCUCUCAGCUUUACCCGCCUGAAUUCUUAGUGAAGAAGGUGCAGGCAUGUAGCCACGGGAGCACGGGACAGCUUGAUCUAGAUGGCAAGCUGAAGUACAUCAUUCGUGUACUGACAGAGACUAGUUUGAUAAUGAGGUUUCAGAGCAUACUCGGGAUCCACUUGCUUUACUUCUUGACUAUCCUUGAUGCUCAUUCACUUGUUGAUGUUCCUUGGUUAUCUGUGAUGGACGAGGGGGGAGAAGGGAUGGCAGAGGAGGUUCACAAUAUAUAG